AGUGAGAUAGCUGGGUCAAAUGGUGGUUCCAUUCUAAGUUUUAUAAGGAAUCUCCAUACUGCUUUCCAGAGUGGUUGCACCAAUUUGCAGUUCUACCAGCAAU
rnacentral:pre_miRNA from 1 species